rnacentral:tRNA from 1 species
UUAGUUAUAGCUAAAGAAGCAAAAUCAUUGUUAAUGAUUAGAUGAGUUAGAGCUCUGACUAAG